UACGGAGGGAGCUAGCGUUGUUCGGAAUUACUGGGCGUAAAGCGCGCGUAGGCGGCUUUGUAAGUUAGAGGUGAAAGCCCGGGGCUCAACUCCGAAAUUGCCUUUAAGACUGCAUCGCUAGAAUCCGGGAGAGGUGAGCGGAAUUCCGAGUGUAGAGGUGAAAUUCGUAGAUAUUCGGAAGAACACCAGUGGCGAAGGCGGCUCACUGGACCGGCAUUGACGCUGAGGUGCGAAAGCGUGGGGAGCAAACAGG
rnacentral:rRNA from 1 species